CCUGCAUGUCAUUUGCCAUCUCCCUUCUUCCAGUGAACUCUCUAUUUAGUUUGCCACCAAUGUGUCACCAUGCUGUAUCUCUGUGUAAAAUUGCCUCUGUGCUGCCCCACCCCACCCCAAUGAUUCAGGGAAGAAAGCCAUCCACAAACUUGUCCUUUUCCUGAUGUUUGUGUAAGUACUUUUUUUAUUUCCUCUGAAAUAGCAAAUGUUACCAGGAGUACACAUUGUGAAAGGACCAAUAGCAUUUCUGGAGCAUGUUCUUUUUUUUUUUUUUUUUUUUUUUUGCUAUAUUCUAUUAAACAUUUUAAUAUUAGAACUGUUAAAAAGUGUUGACAAUAUAGCACACAUUGUGAUACAUAUUCUAUUCUUUAAUUUGUACUCAAGAGACUAACACAUGAGAAUCAAGAGAUAAAAUGUAGCCUUGACCAAUGACUGACAUCCAAUGCAGGCUGGAUAACAUAGCCCAGAAUUUAAAGGGAAAUUGUGACAUUAGCAUUGUCAAUUUCAA
rnacentral:lncRNA from 1 species